GCUCAGAUUGAACGCUAGCGGCGUGCUUAACACAUGCAAGUCGAGCGGUAACAUGUCCUUCGUGAUGCUGACGAGUGGCGGACGGGUGAGUAACUCGUAUGGAUCUGCCUGGUCAUUGGGGGACAACCUGGGGAAACCCAGGCUAAUACCGCCUACGCCCCGAUGGGGAAUGAGAGGCUCUGCUUGCAAGCACUCGCUAUAGGAUGACCCUACCUCUGAUUAUCUAGUUGGUAUGGUAAAGGCCUACCGAGACGACGAUCCGUAGCUGGUCUGAGAGGAUCAUCAGCCACGCUGGGACUGAGACACGGACCAAACUCCUACUGGAGGCAGCCGUGAGGAAUAUUGGACGAUGGCGGCAAUCCUGAUCCAACAAUGCCGCGUGGAUGAAGAACGCCUGAGGGUUGUAAAGUCCUUUCGGUGAGGAAGAGGUUUUGGGGUGUGAAUAGCGCUCUGGGGUGACGUUACCCACAGAAGAAGCAGCGGCUAACUCCGUGCCAGCAGGCGCGGUAAUACGGAGGGUGCAUGCGUCGAUCGCAAUUACUGGGCGUGGAGCGCAUGUAGGCGGUCUGCCAAGUCAGAUGUGAGAUCCCCGGGCUCAUCCUGGGAGUGUUAUAUGAUACUGGUAGGCUAGAGUGUGAUAGAGGGUAGUGGAAUCCCCGGUGUAGCGGAGAAGAUGCGUAUAUGUCGAGAGGAACACCUAUGGCGAACGACUCUGGCUGGGUCGACAGUGACGCUGAUGUGCGAGCCGCGUGGGGAGCAAAGGGGAUUAUAUACCCGGGUAGUCCACGCGGUAGACGAUGAGCAAGAGACGUGGGGGAGGUUACUCCUCGGUGUCGCAGCUAACGCGUUAAGUUCUCCGCCUGGGGAGUACGGCCGCAAGGUUGAAACUCAAAGGAAUUGACGGGGGCCCGCACAAGCGGUGGAGCAUGUUGGUUAAUUCGAUGCAACGCGAAGAACCU
rnacentral:rRNA from 1 species